UAGAUUGAAGCCCGCUGGUUUGGGUAUUUAGUUGUUAACUAAAGGUUUAUGGGAUCAAGGCCCGUCGAUCUAG
rnacentral:tRNA from 1 species